AACCUUUAUGAAGGCACAUCAGUUUCCUGGGCUGUACUUCAUGGGCCAAAUUUUUUCGAAGAGGUUGGACUAAACAUGACGUGGCUCGAGGCGUGAGCCAUGAAACAAGGCUGAUCAGCAGAGGGGCCAGAGCAGCAAUCGGCAGGCGGUGAGAGGAAAAACUGCUAUGCCAAGCCCAGCCACAAGAGGGCACAUCUGGGACAUUCUGAAGAACAAACCAGGCAGUGUUUCCGCCAACAUGAUUCUGAACCUGAGAGCACAUCCUGCACAUACCCUGGGGGUGCAGCCAUUGCUACCCAUGUGCUUGGCUGACGAAAACAACUGGGAACAAAUAUUUAUUGUGACUGCUGGGAGAUAACAUUUCAGAAAAGUGGGAAGAAGAAAAUCAAAGAGAGCCAUUCCUGAGAACUCCGCGCUCUGGCAGUUCAAUACCUUCUGCGCACAAGACGGUAUGCUGCAGUGAACUGGCCCCAGCUAGGUUGCAGUUAAAUUUCUAAUGGAGUGCUUUUCUGUCUUGUUUAGACUGCAGGCAUUCUUUUAGCAAACUCUCGUGACACAUAAAAUAACAUUAAGAUCAAAAGCAAAAAAUCCUAAGACAGGUUUCCCCCAUUCCCUGAGAAAAGUGAGGGUGGGGGGGAGCCAACCCAAUUUAUUCCCCAGGCUUCAACUCAACAGGAAGAAAUCAACUGACCACAAGAAAGGGUGCUGCGAGAGCACAGGCAAAACCUCGAAACUCUUGUGUCUCAAGCUCUGAGUGCACUGUAGCAGAUAUGACUAAUAACCUAAUAGAUUCCCUUACAGGAUCAGCUUCUUCCACAGACUAGGAAGACCAUUUCCUAUCUUUACUUAAGACUCCAAGCUCUUUGGGACAGGAACUCUCUUUCUGCUAGUGUAUGAACAGUGCUUAGCCCAAAAGGGCCCUGAUCAGUCUACAGGUGUUCCUGCAAUACAGAUAAUCCUGUCUAACACUAAACUCUCCAUGCUCAUUGACUUCAGAUUUGAAAUUGUGCUUAGUUAAAGCUACGUGAUCACAUUUCUGUAUGUCGUGUUUGCUAACUUAAUGGUUACAAAAACCAAGCCACACUUACAAUUUUCACAGCAUCUUUUAAGCUAAUUAAGAAGGGAUGUUGUCAACUUGAAAUCUGGGCAAUUUCCAAAUGAGUUUUAUGUGAUACACCAGCUGCCAAAUUUUUAUGGCAUUAGUCACAUUUAUUGCUGCUGUGUGUCUUAAAAAACAACCAAAAAACAGGCAAACAACAUGGGAAACUGACUAACUAUCCACUGAGAACAGUGCAACUGACUAUACAAAGAGCUACCAAUUCCACAAAAAUGAAAUAUAGAGCAAAAUGCUUCUCUCUGUGUCUUUCAGUUAUAGUAAAAUUAGGUGUAACAAUAGUAGGUAAAGAUUUCAGAUGUCAGUACAAUUUUUAAGCAGACAGUGUCUUUAAAUUUUGUCAUUAGAGAUGCUAUCUGAAAACAAAGCAUUUUUGAUAGUGUGUGGAGGGGGAAAGGUUCUAGUUUUCAAGUUUCUGCUGUUUAAAAGCAUAUUGCUUCCCAAAUCAAAAGCAGCUCAACUGAACAGUUAAAGAAAAGACGGACUCAAACCGGAACAUAAAUAAGAGCUAUGUGCACCAUAAGCCCCUCUCUCCCCAGUUUACAUAUCCUUUGUUGUUCCAACAAUCCCUUUGACACUUGGAAAUUCAAUCACCUCUUUCUUACUUGAAGUGUAAUGGAUGAACUGACCUGCCUUUGAUGUGGAAAUUUCAGAGCAAGCCAGUUUUCUCUUAACAUUAGUAUUAGCUGCUGCUCCUUAACCCACCCUCCAAAUUAUUAGUUGUGUCCAGAUCCCAUCCCUUAAAGGGAUGCAGUUUGGUAGCUUAUAUCUAAGACUUAUGUUCUAUAGAGAAAAUAAAUAUUCCAGGAUUAGUUUAUGAGAAUUUAAGCAUUCCCCUGCUGCAAAACUUGAAGCAUGGUCGCAUGUGCUAGUGGAAGGGACCCGAAAAGCAAAACUAGUUAGAAACCAAAGGGAAACUUAGCAAACUUCAUGUUAGUGACACAUUAAAAUAUAUUUGCAAAAUAUGUCUUCACAGGACAACAUUCCUUUAUAAAAGGACUUAAUCUGUGAAUCCUGUAAUGUGAUAAAAGACUUAUUCAGCAGGCUUGAUAUUCCAGUGGCAUUGCAGUGUUGCCAACUCUUGAGAUUUUUAUCACAGGUUUCACAAUGUUUGGUGGGUUUCUUAAAGUUCCAGCUUCUGGAGUUGUGAGAGUCUCCUCUUUCAUUUAAAAAAAUAAGUGAGUUUCGA